UCUCUCUGAAUCUGCGAACGGCUCCGCAAACCAGUUGUAAACCACAGCAAGCUUGAUCUGGCGAGGCCCCUCGGGGUAGUAGCCAGAAUUAUAUGGAUACCCCUGGUAAUUCUGAGGCUAAUACAUGUCUAAAACGAUACCGCCUGGGCAUCGCGCUCGGGGCGGGAACGUGCGAGUUAAAAUACUGGCCAAUCGCGAAAGAACGCACGUUCAGACCACCGUCGAGUGAGCCGUCCUCCGGGGCGGUUCUGGUGGCGCUUGCAACGGGCUUCUGACCUAUCAACUACACAGCAGCGUAAGGGACAUGCUGUGGUGACAACGGGUACAGAGGAUUAGGGUUCGAUCCUGGAGAGUGGGCCUGAGAGAUU
rnacentral:rRNA from 1 species